rnacentral:rRNA from 1 species
UGCAAGUCGAGCGGCAGCACGGGUACUUGUACCUGGUGGCGAGCGGCGGACGGGUGAGUAAUGCCUAGGAAUCUGCCUAGUAGUGGGGGAUAACGUCCGGAAACGGGCGCUAAUACCGCAUACGUCCUACGGGAGAAAGUGGGGGAUCUUCGGACCUCACGCUAUUAGAUGAGCCUAGGUCGGAUUAGCUAGUUGGUGGGGUAAUGGCUCACCAAGGCGACGAUCCGUAACUGGUCUGAGAGGAUGAUCAGUCACACUGGAACUGAGACACGGUCCAGACUCCUACGGGAGGCAGCAGUGGGGAAUAUUGGACAAUGGGCGAAAGCCUGAUCCAGCCAUGCCGCGUGUGUGAAGAAGGUCUUCGGAUUGUAAAGCACUUUAAGUUGGGAGGAAGGGCAGUUACCUAAUACGUGAUUGUUUUGACGUUACCGACAGAAUAAGCACCGGCUAACUCUGUGCCAGCAGCCGCGGUAAUACAGAGGGUGCAAGCGUUAAUCGGAAUUACUGGGCGUAAAGCGCGCGUAGGUGGUUUGUUAAGUUGGAUGUGAAAGCCCCGGGCUCAACCUGGGAACUGCAUCCUAAACUGGCAAGCUA